CCCUCUCUCUCUCUCAAAUUAUAGUUCUGAAUUCAUUUCAAAAUUUAAAUUAUAAUUUCAAUCCCCUCACUCUCUUGUGUAUUCUUGUGUAAUGUAUAGUUUCAAAUUUGAAACAAGACAAAUGAUGUUAUUAAACAUGUUUAUGUUUGCUAUUUAUAAUCUUGUGUAAUGUAAUGUAAUGUAAGGUUUGAUAAAAAAAACCAUAUCUGAUUUUAAUCUCUGGUUUUCUUCCUGUCAUUCUAUUCAACCUCUACACUGAUGAAUCGUUAUGACGACAGAGUUGUGACACCGGUUCUUACCAUCAGCGUCCAAGACCUGAUGAAGAGAAACUGUUUGCAGAACGUGCCCAGUACCAUAAAAAGCAUUGUUGAUGAAGAUUAGGUUGAGUUAUGUGGUGAUUGAGUUGGUUUUAUCACGUUUUGGAUUUGCUUCUAAUGAGAACCGGUUUCUUGAACCGAAUUAUGAGGCCUAGGCUAGUAAUAACAGCAUUGCUUACCUCCGCUUUAUGGCUCUCAGUGAGGAAAGUCUUAAUCGGUGCAGUGAGCGUGCGAGCGCAGCCGCAGUGGCUCAUCAACGCAGCCACAACGAGCGCAGCGGGGCAGCAAGCGCAACCACAGCGAGAGGAAUGAUAAGUAGAGGCGCCAUUUUCAGCCAAUGUCCGCGCACCCGCAGUGGCGCAGCGAACACAGCCGUGGCGCAUCGAACGCAGUUAUAGUUUUAGCAUGUGGGGAGAUUUCAAAGGCAACAUUUAUCAGGAUGCAACCAUAAUUAUAGAGACAGAUGCGUAGCUAGAGAACCAGAUGGUUAAAAAAAUAUUUAUAUUCGUUGGAGUUUUUACUAGAUGAUAACAGUCGGAGGGCAUCAGAUCAUUGGCAAAGACACCCAGGUGCGGCUAUUGCAUUCAGGCCUUAUAACUCUUCUUACUUGGAUUGUGAGCAUCCAGGUGUAGACCUUACAUUUGCGUUAAGAUCACAUACACCUGUGAUAAUAUUCAAGAACUAUAUGAUUUAGAAGUGGAACUUAUACGGAGGGGUUGGGCUUAUGUGGAUCACCAGCUUUUUGCAACUUUCUAGGCCUUCAAUGAUGGAUGUUUGGUCGGGUAUUUUAGCAAAAGUCCAAUAAAUAGAUUUAUGAGCAUGGAUUACUAUUUAUAUAAGACAUACUACCGUAUUCGAGAGAAACAAAAUCAUGCCAAAGCAGAACCUUGUGUUAUUGAGCUUCUGAAUGAAUCAGGGGUUAGCAACUCAACUAUGCAGCUGUACAAAGGUAUAGUGGUUCUUUCAUGCUCUCUCAUGUUAAUUUAUAUUUGAUAGUUGUGAGUUAGUACUUGGUAAUGAGCUUCCUUGCUUCAACUUAGAGAUACGUAACUGAAGCGCUUCAGGUUAGUUUUCAUUUAUUAGGUUUUUUUUUUUUUAUUUUGGUAUUGCCUGAUUUAAAAAAUAACAGCUGAAUAGGUGAGACUCACAUGUUAAGGCUUUUCAAGCCUACGAAAAAGACUUAUACCAUCGUAGGCUUGGCACGCUCACCACGACUUAUACCAUCCAUAUUGAAGAACCCAAAGUGAUCGAUGGUAAUAUUUAACCCUUUUUAAAUACUUUAGUGUUUGAAAUUAACCCGUGGUAUAAUGUUCGUUAUACUUUUUAAAUACUUUUCAUCUGCAUUUCUGUUAGAAUAAAAAUAUAUCAUGGAAAGGAAAGAUAAUUUCAAGAAUAAAACUGGGUUUGAAACUACUCUUUGGUUAAAAAAGUGUUUUGUGGAGGAAAAGUGAAACUACUGUUUUGGGUUAAAAUAGAUGUUAGAAACAGUGUUUUGGGUUAAAACGGAUGUUAGAAAAUAAAAUAGUGUUUGAAACCACUGUUGGGUUAAAACAGAUGUUAGAAACAGUGUUUUGGGUUAAAACACUGUUUUUUGGAGAAAAAGUGAAACCACUGUUUUGGGUUAAAACAGAUGUUAGAAACAGUGUUUUGGGUUAAAACAUAUGUUAGAAAAUAAAACAAUGUUUGAAACCUGUUGGGUUAAAACACUGUUUUUUUGGAGAAAAAGUGAAACCACUGUUUUGGGUUAAAACAAAUGUUAGAAACAGUGGCAGGUAGGAUGAAGUGUGUGAGCUUUUGUAUUUGGUUUAAGGUUUUGAUCCUAAACAUAAGUGUUUUUGUUACUUAUAACUGUUUGUAUACAAGAGGAUGCAAAGGAUGCAUCUGAGACAAAAGUUGCUGUGCAACUAACCUCUAAAGCAGAGGAGGGGAGUGGUGAUAAUCAUGAUGAGGGCUCAGAUGAUAGUUCUAAAGGAGAGCAUGAACCUGAAUCCACGAAGAAAAUGGUCGUUUGUCAGCAGAACAAGUGGUUGGUGUUUAGUGUUCGACUGUAAUCUUUGCUAUAUUUGAGUUAUUUUAAUUUAAGAUCAGUGUGAAGAUGCGCUUUUGGCUAAUUUUUUUAUGUUUAAUCCACUUGACCCGUUAUAAACGAUUACAUUAUGAUUGGUAUUUUUUGCA